GCUUAACGCGAAGAACCUUACCAGGGCUUAAAUGUAGUGGGACAGGUCCAGAGAUGGGCCCUUCUUCGGACUCAUUACAAGGUGCUGCACUGGUUGUCGUCAGCUCGUGCCGUGAGGUGUCAGGUUAAGUCCUAUAACGAGCGCAACCCCUGUCGUUAGUUGCCAGCGAGUGAAGUCGGGAACUCUAACGAGACUGCCGGUGCAAACCGUGAGGAAGGUGGGGAUGACGUCAAAUCAUCACGGCCCUUACGUCCUGGGCUACACACGUGCUACAAUGGCCGGUACAGGAGAGCAGCCACGCCGCAAGGCGGAGCGAAUCUACAAAACCGGUCACAGUUCGGAUCGGGGUCUGGCAAC
rnacentral:rRNA from 1 species